AUGCAAGUAGAACGCUGAAGGAGGAGCUUGCUCUCUCCGGAUGAGUUGCGAACGGGUGAGUAACGCGUAGGUAACCUGCCUGGUAGCGGGGGAUAACUAUUGGAAACGAUAGCUAAUACCGCAUAACAGUAGAUGUUGCAUGACAUUUGCUUAAAAGGUGCAAUUGCAUCACUACCAGAUGGACCUGCGUUGUAUUAGCUAGUUGGUGGGGUAACGGCUCACCAAGGCGACGAUACAUAGCCGACCUGAGAGGGUGAUCGGCCACACUGGGACUGAGACACGGCCCAAACUCCUACGGGAGGCAGCAGUAGGGAAUCUUCGGCAAUGGACGGAAGUCUGACCGAGCAACGCCGCGUGAGUGAAGAAGGUUUUCGGAUCGUAAAGCUCUGUUGUAAGAGAAGAACGAGUGUGAGAGUGGAAAGUUCACACUGUGACGGUAUCUUACCAGAAAGGGACGGCUAACUACGUGCCAGCAGCCGCGGUAAUACGUAGGUCCCGAGCGUUGUCCGGAUUUAUUGGGCGUAAAGCGAGCGCAGGCGGUUAGAUAAGUCUGAAGUUAAAGGCUGUGGCUUAACCAUAGUACGCUUUGGAAACUGUUUAACUUGAGUGCAAGAGGGGAGAGUGGAAUUCCAUGUGUAGCGGUGAAAUGCGUAGAUAUAUGGAGGAACACCGGUGGCGAAAGCGGCUCUCUGGCUUGUAACUGACGCUGAGGCUCGAAAGCGUGGGGAGCAAACAGGAUUAGAUACCCUGGUAGUCCACGCCGUAAACGAUGAGUGCUAGGUGUUAGACCCUUUCCGGGGUUUAGUGCCGUAGCUAACGCAUUAAGCACUCCGCCUGGGGAGUACGACCGCAAGGUUGAAACUCAAAGGAAUUGACGGGGGCCCGCACAAGCGG
rnacentral:rRNA from 1 species